rnacentral:tRNA from 1 species
AGUAAAGUCAGCUAAUAAAAGCUUUUGGGCCCAUACCCCAAACAUGUCGUUAAAGUCCUUCUUUUGUA